AAGUCGUAACAAGGUUUCCGUAGGUGAACCUGCGGAAGGAUCAUUAUCACGUAUCCACGUAUAAACCACUGCGAACUGUAUUCCCUUCGAAUAUGUUGUUGAGGCCCCUCUAACCAGGGGGCUUUAGGUCAGUAGUUCUUCCCGAUUUCGUGAUUUGGGGAAGCGGUCUAGAGUUGUCGCAAGACACGUCAAUCUUUUCGAAGCGGUUAUUCAUCACGAACCGUUCAAACUCUUUAUUAACCCCUUUAAACUUUUUGAACUGAAUCUUAAGCUCGAUGUGAGAGUGUCCCUCGGGACGUUCUGAUCGUGUCUUAUACUGUACGAAAUAUUCGAACAAUUCUUAACAACGGAUAUCUUGGCUCUGAUAACGAUGAAGAACGCAGC
rnacentral:misc_RNA from 1 species